AUUCCUGUCGGCUGCAGGGGCAGGAGAGGAAGGGACGGGCCGAGCGGGUCGGGGCUUGCCGUUUGACUGGAAUUGCCAGAAUGGCGGACCGAGCCCCACGACAACCUACCUCCCUGGGCUCCUCGCCGCAGCGCUGCGGCUCGCCUCCCUCUGCUCCUCCUCCUCCGCCGGAUCGCGGCGAGCGGAUCGAGGACUGCCUAGCGCCCCUCUGCCCACCGGUGGUUGGAGGCCGCGGCGGCUGCGCGUUGAGUCGUUUCCUGCCGGUUGACCUGAGCCUACUUCGCAGUAGCAGGACCGCUGCUGUGGAGCUGGUCGCAGGCGGUGUGUGCCGGUCGCCUAGUCAGGAGAACUAGUCCUCGACUCACGGUGAGGGAAUGGACCGACACGGGUAUUGUACCGCUGAGGGAAAGGAGCGGGACUCCGGACCUCCAGGAGGUAGGGAGUGAGGCCAGUAGGACCGGCGCGCCUCCGGGGGGAUUCCUCCCGGGCGUUGAGUUGCCAACCUGGGACCCGAGGAAGAUCGGCGUGGUGGUGUGCUUUUUGUUGUUGUUAACCCUCCUCGGAUUUCUCGAAUUUCACACCACUGUCCAUAUGCGAUGAUGUUUGUUUGCCCUUGACGCACUUACUCAUGGAUGGUACUUCUUCAGCCUCGUUAGACAGCCUGGUGAUGGAGGAUGAAGAAACCAUGUGCUUUUCAUUCAGUUCUGGACUUAGUCUCCCUUUUCUUCCUUCAGCAAGUUAUUUUUGUUAGUUCCUUAUCAAAAAGUGUACAUAAAAAUUAGGCAACUCCAAACAUGCCUCCAGGGUUAAUGUGUGAAAUAAUAAGAUAAUAUAUGUAAAGUGGAAUUAGCUCCUAGGCAUAGGGAAAGUGCAGAAUAUUGCCGUGUUGUCAUUUACAGUUCUGUUGAUGUCGAUAACGUUUGUGGGUGUAAUUGGUAGUGUUCUGUCCCUCCAAGGAGUUAAUAAAACAAAGCAAACAUAGGCCUGUUAGGUUUCUGUGGCUACUGAAUAUUUGUUUCUCAAAACACUUGACUGAUAUUUGAUAAUUGAAUGCAGCAGAAAUACGGACGAUUAAAGUCCACAAAUAAUUCCAAAGUUUACUUGAUCUAGUAGUUUUUACCUUUACCUAAAGGGUAAAGCAGAAUAAAUUACCGGAAGGAUCUACUUGGGUUUCCCUUUCCUUCACAUUUGUGGACUCCUGGGGAUCCAGGAAGUAAUUCAGAAAUGACUGUUCAAAAGCCCAUGCAAGGCCGGGCGCGGUGGCUAACGCUUGUAAUCCCAGCGCUUUGGGAGGCCAAGGUGGGCGGAUGACCUGAGGUCAGGAGUUCGAGACCAGCCUGGCCAACAUGGCAAAAUCCCGUCUCUACUAAAAAUACAAAAAUUAGCCAGGCGUGGUGGUGGACGCCUGUAAUCCCAGCUACUCAGGAGACUGAGGCAGGAGAAUCGCUUGAACCUGGGAGGCGGAGAUUGCAGUGAGCCGAGAUGGUGCCAUUGCACUCCAGCCUGGGCAACAAGAGCGAAACUCCAUCUGAGGGAAAAAAAUAAAAAUAAAAAGCCCUUGCAACCUCCAAAAUUCAAGUAGACAGUCCCAAAUUUCCCCUUUAGGAUACGUGGAUUAAGUGUUGUUUACUUGUUUCGUUUCUUUAAGGUAAAGAGGAAAGCAGCCUUAAUUACCUCAUUGUAUAUUUUCCUAACCAAGUCCCACACUUUCAUGGAGCCCACUUGUUUACCGAUCUUUUGUUAGUUGCUUCAUGCGUGCAAGUGUAUUAUGCUACCAAUAACUUGUUUUAUCUGAGAACAGGGACUAUGUCUACUACUUAAUUUACAUAAAGCAUCACAGGCUAGCGCAAAGCAAGUCACAGAAAUAUUGAAAUGAGGCUGGGUGUGGUAGCUCACGCCUGUAAUCCCAGCACUUUGGGAGGCCAAGGCGCAUGGAUCACGAGGUCACAAGUUCAAGACCAGCCUGGCCAACAUAGUGAAACCCCGUCUCUACUAAUAAUACAAAAAAUUAGCCGGGCGUGGUGGUGGGCGCCUGUAAUCCCAGCUACUCGGGAGGCUGAGGCAGGAGAAUUGCUUGAACCCGGGAGGCAGAGAUUUCAGUGAGUGGAGAUUGCACCACUGCACUCCAGCCUGGGCAACAGUGCGAGACUUUGUCUUAAAAAGAAAAAAAAAAUCCAAAAAAAAUCAGGUGGGCAUGGUGGAGCGCCUGUAGUUCCACCUACUUGGUAGGCUGAGGCAGGAGAGUCGCUUGAACCCAGGAGGGAGAGGUUGCAGUGAGUCGAGAUCACGCCUUUGCAUUCCAGCCUGGGAGACGAGAGUGAAACUCCUUCUCAAAAAAAAAAAAAAAAGAAAAAGAAAAGAAAUAUUGAAAUGAAUGUUAGAUACUUAAAAUACCAGAAGAGAAAGACAAUUAGCAUUUGUGGACUACUGUGCCAGGGGAACACGUAUUCCUGUUUAAUCCUUAUAAUAAACAACACUUUGAGGUAGAUAAUCUUACCCUCAUUUUACAAAAGAGAAGCCUGAGGCCCAGAGAAGUCCAGUAACAAUCUUUAGACUCUAGUUUGCCUGUCUUUUAAAAACCUUACUUUUUUCACUAUACCACAUUUUCUUCAAAGUAAAAUUUCUCAUCAGCAGCAUAAUUGCUGUGCUUCAAAGAAAAAAAAAUGCCUUUACUGGAAUUUCACCACACCAGUGUAUAGGGAGAGUUACUUACAUAUGGUCUCUGUGUUAAAAUAAGUUUCAUUAACUACACUGAUCAAUGAAUUAUCAGCUACAUACAAGCAAAUGAGAUACGAUUCUGUUUUUUCAUGUAUGCCCCAGAGCCAACUAGAGACUAAAAUAUAUUAAGUGCUCAAUAAAAUGACCUCACUGAAUGAACAAACCCUGAAUUAUUUGAACCAAUGAAGAUAGAAUAAUGGUUUCCCCAAGGAUAUCCACUUCUUAAUCCCUAAAACCUGUAAAUAUGAUAUGUUACAUGACCAGGGAAAAUUCAGGAUGCAGAGGGAAUUAAGGUUGCUAAUCAGCUGACAUUAAACUAGGGAGAUUAUCCAGGAGUGAGCUCUCUGCAAUGGCCCUCUUCAGUUUUACUUCUGUAGCUGCCCAUGCUUGUGUUCCUUUUCAGAAAGACAAUAAUGGAAAAGCAUGUAAGCUGCCAGCACCACAGCACCACCGUCGAAGCUCCCUUUCUUCAAAUUGGAGUGCUUGUCAUAAUACCUGUAGUAACCUCUCUGAACGCUCCAACAGUGCCUUCUUGUGUGAGAUCACACGUUAAUAUUUAGUUUGGCAGUUCUGCUAGUUUGACAUCCAGGAGUUUCUUCUCCUUCACUGGUACAGCCGACUCCAUCUUGGGGUCCUGGUCUGAUAAAAACUUUUAAAAUGAGGUUUCAGGCUGGGCGCAGUGGCUCAUGCCUAUAAAUCCCAACACUUUGGGCGACUGAGGCAGGAGGAUUACUUGAGGCCAGGAGUUCAAGACCAGCCUGGUUAACAUAGCAAGACCCCCAUCUCUACAAAAAAUAAGAAAAAUUAGCCAGGCCAUGGUGGCAUGUCCAGGAGUUUGAGGCUACCGUGAGCCAUGAUCACACACCACUGCACUCCAGCCUGGGCAAGAGAGUGAAACUCUGUCUCUAAAAUGUAAAACAAAAUAAAGUUAAUUUUUUUUUUUUUAUUCUUGAGACAGAGUUUCACUCUUGUUACCCAGGCUGGAGUGCAAUGGCGUGAUCUCGGCUUACUGCAACCUCCGCCUCCCGGGUUCAAGCAAUUCUCCUGCCUCAGCUUCCCAAGCAGCUAGGAUUACAAGCAUGUGCCACCACGCCUGGCUAAUUUUGUAUUUUUAGUAGAGAUGGGGUUUCUCCAUGUUUGUCAGGCUGCUCUUGAACUCCCGACCUCAGGUGAUCCGCCCGUCUCGGCCUCCCAAAGUGCUGGGAUUACAGAUGUGAGCCACCACACCCAGCC
rnacentral:lncRNA from 1 species